rnacentral:rRNA from 1 species
AUUGAACGCUGGCGGCAUGCUUUACACAUGCAAGUCGAACGGUAACAGGCCGCAAGGUGCUGACGAGUGGCGAACGGGUGAGUAAUGCGUCGGAACGUGCCCAGUCGUGGGGGAUAACGCAGCGAAAGCUGCGCUAAUACCGCAUACGAUCUAUGGAUGAAAGCGGGGGACCGUAAGGCCUCGCGCGAUUGGAGCGGCCGAUGUCAGAUUAGGUAGUUGGUGGGGUAAAGGCUCACCAAGCCAACGAUCUGUAGCUGGUCUGAGAGGACGACCAGCCACACUGGGACUGAGACACGGCCCAGACUCCUACGGGAGGCAGCAGUGGGGAAUUUUGGACAAUGGGCGCAAGCCUGAUCCAGCAAUGCCGCGUGCAGGAAGAAGGCCUUCGGGUUGUAAACUGCUUUUGUACGGAACGAAACGGCUCUGGUUAAUACCUGGGGCUAAUGACGGUACCGUAAGAAUAAGCACCGGCUAACUACGUGCCAGCAGCCGCGGUAAUAC